GACGAACGCUGGCGGCGUGCCUAAUACAUGCAAGUCGAGCGGACUGAUUUAGAGCUUGCUCUUAUGACGUUAGCGGCGGACGGGUGAGUAACACGUGGGCAACCUGCCCUGUAGAUCGGGAUAACACCGAGAAAUCGGUGCUAAUACCGGGUAAUAUCUGAGAUCACAUGAUCUUAGGUUAAAAGAUGGCUCCGGCUAUCACUACAGGAUGGGCCCGCGGCGCAUUAGCCAGUUGGUAAGGUAAUGGCUUACCAAGGCGACGAUGCGUAGCCGACCUGAGAGGGUGAUCGGCCACACUGGGACUGAGACACGGCCCAGACUCCCACGGGAGGCAGCAGUAGGGAAUCUUCCGCAAUGGACGAAAGUCUGACGGAGCAACGCCGCGUGAGUGAUGAAGGUUUUCGGCUCGUAAAGCUCUGUUGUUAGGGAAGAAACAGUACCGAACGAACUAGGUCGGUACCUUGACGGUACCUAACCAGAAAGCCACGGCUAACUACGUG
rnacentral:rRNA from 1 species